CUUCCUGUUUUUAGAAGGUGUAAUUUAUUAAUUAACUAUUUUUCUUCUUUAUUUUCAGGUUUACUCACGGAUCACCAAAGUACAGUUUCGCCCCAACUGACGGUACAACGGCAGAGCAGCUCGCUGGACUUCUUCGCUGUUGGGUUUCCUACGUAGCACAGUUUCAAUAAAUUUAAUAAUCAACUAUC
rnacentral:lncRNA from 1 species